ACGGUAACAGAAAGCAGCUUGCUGCUUUGCUGACGAGUGGCGGACGGGUGAGUAAUGUCUGGGAAACUGCCUGAUGGAGGGGGAUAACUACUGGAAACGGUAGCUAAUACCGCAUAACGUCGCAAGACCAAAGAGGGGGACCUUAUGGCCUCUUGCCAUCGGAUGUGCCCAGAUGGGAUUAGCUAGUACGUGGGGUAACGGCUCACCUAGGCGACGAUCCCUAGCUGGUCUGAGAGGAUGACCAGCCACACUGGAACUGAGACACGGUCCAGACUCCUACGGGAGGCAGCAGUGGGGAAUAUUGCACAAUGGGCGCAAGCCUGAUGCAGCCAUGCCGCGUGUAUGAAGAAGGCCUUCGGGUUGUAAAGUACUUUCAGCGGGGAGGAAGGGAGUAAAGUUAAUACCUUUGCUCAUUGACGUUACCCGCAGAAGAAGCACCGGCUAACUCCGUGCCAGCAGCCGCGGUAAUACGGAGGGUGCAAGCGUUAAUCGGAAUUACUGGGCGUCAAGCGCACGCAGGCGGUUUGUUAAGUCAGAUGUGAAAUCCCCGGGCUCAACCUGGGAACUGCAUCUGAUACUGUCAGGCUUGAGUCUCGUAGAGGGGGGU
rnacentral:rRNA from 1 species